rnacentral:rRNA from 1 species
AGCUAGUUGGUGAGGUAAUGGCCCACCAAGGCGACGAUCGGUAGCCGGACUGAGAGGUUGAACGGCCACAUUGGGACUGAGACACGGCCCAGACUCCUACGGGAGGCAGCAGUGGGGAAUAUUGCACAAUGGGGGAAACCCUGAUGCAGCGACGCCGCGUGGAGGAAGAAGGUCUUCGGAUUGUAAACUCCUGUUGUUGAGGAAGAUAAUGACGGUACUCAACAAGGAAGUGACGGCUAACUACGUGCCAGCAGCCGCGGUAAAACGUAGGUCACAAGCGUUGUCCGGAAUUACUGGGUGUAAAGGGAGCGCAGGCGGGAAGACAAGUUGGAAGUGAAAUCCAUGGGCUCAACCCAUGAACUGCUUUCAAAACUGUUUUUCUUGGGUAGUGCAGAGGUAGGCGGAAUUCCCGGUGUAGCGGUGGAAUGCGUAGAUAUCGGGAGGAACACCAGUGGCGAAGGCGGCCUACUGGGCACCAACUGACGCUGAGGCUCGAAAGUGUGGGUAGCAAACAGGAUUAGAUACCCUGGUAGUCCACACUGUAAACGAUGAUUACUAGGUGUUGGAGGAUUGACCCCUUCAGCGCCGCAGUUAACACAAUAAGUAAUCCACCUGGGGAGUACGACCGCAAGGUUGAAACUCAAAGGAAUUGACGGGGGCCCGCACAAGCAGUGGAGUAUGUGGUUUAAUUCGACGCAACGCGAAGAACCUUACCAAGUCUUGACAUCCUGCGACGCACAUAGAAAUAUGUGUUUCCUUCGGGACGCAGAGACAGGUGGUGCAUGGUUGUCGUCAGCUCGUGUCGUGAGAUGUUGGGUUAAGUCCCGCAACGAGCGCAACCCUUGUGGUCAGUUACUACGCAAGAGGACUCUGGCCAGACUGCCGUUGACAAAACGGAGGAAGGUGGGGAUGACGUCAAAUCAUCAUGCCCUUUAUGACUUGGGCUACACACGUACUACAAUGGCGUUAAACAAAGAGAAGCAAGACCGCGAGGUGGAGCAAAACUCAGAAACAACGUCCCAGUUCGGACUGCAGGCUGCAACUCGCCUGCACGAAGUCGGAAUUGCUAGUAGUCGCAGAUCAGCAUGCUGCGGUGAAUACGUUCCCGGGCCUUGUACACACCGCCCGUCACACCAUGAGAGCCGGGGGGACCCGAAGUCGGUAGUCUAACCGCAAGGAGGACGCCGCCGAAGGUAAAACUGUGAUUGGGGUGAAGUCGUAACAAGGUAGCCGUAGGAGAACCUGCGGCUG